rnacentral:tmRNA from 1 species
GGGGGUGACUUGGUUUCGACUGGAAUAGUCGGGGCUAUGUGCAUGUCGGACUGGGCAAUUCCGUUACGCGGCCCACUCGCGAAUAAACGCAAACAAUACAGAUUACCGUCCAGCUUACGCUCACGCAGCGUAGGUUAACCUAAACUUUGGACUGCUUCGCCCUUGAGUGUCAUCUUAGAGGGACUAUGAAGUAUCACAUCUGAUGACUAUGCGCUGUGGAAGCUAUGCCACAGUGUGAGAAUCUUAGCUGGUCUUGUAAAGCUUGGGCUGUUGUGCAAAGCAAGAUGAGAAUUAACAAUAGCAUCUAAGCAUGUAGAGUCAUAGUUCUAUCUAUUUUAGGACACGGGUUCAAUUCCCGUCGCCUCCACCA